rnacentral:rRNA from 1 species
GACGAACGCUGGCGGCGUGCUUAACACAUGCAAGUCGAACGGAAAGGCCCGGCUUUUGGGGGGUGGGCGGGGGGCGAACGGGGAAGGAACACGUGAGUAACCUGCCAUUGACGUUGGGAUGACCUCAUGAAACUGGGGCUAAUACCGGAUAGGAGCUCCUGCUGCAUGGGGGGGGUUGGAAAGUUUCGGCGGUUGGGGAUGGACUCGCCGCUUAUCAGCUUGUUGGUGGGGUAGUGGCUUACCAAGGCUUUGCCGGGUAGCCGGCCUGAGAGGGUGACCGGCCACAUUGGGACUGAGAUACGGCCCAGACUCCUACGGGAGGCAGCAGUGGGGAAUAUUGCACAAUGGGCGGAAGCCUGAUGCAGCAACGCCGCGUGCGGGAUGACGGCCUUCGGGUUGUAAACCGCUUUCGCCUGUGACGAAGCGUGAGUGACGGUAAUGGGUAAAGAAGCACCGGCUAACUACGUG